ACAGAACACUUUUUCAAUAAUGUUUAUUAGCUUUGUAAACCUUGUGUUGCUGCUACAAUCAUUGUGUAUCUUCAAAGCUCCAACAAUUUGGUGGUAGUACAUCUUUGAGGGGAAGUACAGCAUUAUUAGGCCCUUAGCUCCCACCAUUCUAGUAGUACUAACAUUUGUACUGCGACUAUUGCUUUUUCCUUGUAUUUAAGUCAGCCGUUCUGUUCUGCCAAUUCGUGUCCAUCAGGGCAGACAUUUCGAAACCAUCUUUUUCGAGCAAAGAGUUAGAAUUCUUGGUAGAAUGCUUUUCUCAUUCUUCAUCAUAUUUAAACGGGACAUCAAUUUCUAACUCAAACAUGCUUUCUCCACCCUAACCCUCAUAUGCUUUCUGCCAAUUCUCUCUUCCCUAUGCUCAUUCCACCAAUCAUGGAGAUGGGCAAUUACGGCUGCAGUCAGGUAUUCAUUAGCACAUCAUGGGGUGCUAAUCAUCUGCAUAAUUCGGCUACAAGGUAAAAAAGAUUGGUAAGGACAGACGGGGACGAGGCAGAGCAUGAAAAGGGUGCAUUUCAACACCCUCUGGUUAUUUUGAUUUUUGGUGUUGACGGCCUUUCCGUGCACUGCCUCUUCCCUGGCUGUCCUGUCAUCUUAUCAUCACCUUUGGCAUCUCAAUAUCAUUUGAAUUUUUCUUUCAAGUAAUUGAUGGAUUUAGUUUGGCACGUUCAUCACUCAUUCAAAAGGUUUAUUAUUAUUAGCAAAACAAGGGACUUAUUCCUCUCACAUCCCAAUUCUACAGUUCUAGUGCUCCUCUCCUCCAUCUCAAUUUUUGUCCUUUACCCAUAAUUUGAUUAGUUGAAUCACGAUAAGUUCGAUAACACACGAUGUAUGUUUGGCUGUUUGCCAACAAAAGUUUGCUCAACUCAAUUGGUAAGAUCAUACUACUUCCUAAAUAAAGGUCAUAUAUCCGAAUGCUGCUGCCGUCGAUACGAGGACCGUAUUAAUGAGUGAGUGAAUUGUAAAAGACUCUGUAAAUAAUCUAAAGUCCAGGAGAAUACUCUAACUCGUGGUGAUGAACGAACCCGAAGUUAUAUGCCAUUGACUUCGCUGCCAAUUUUGUUCUACAUGGGAUUAGUGUUUCUUUUGUUAUUUCUAACUAUGUGCUUGUGCCCGUUAAUUUUGCCCCCAUUUUGGUGUCACUUCAUAACCCAAAUAGCACAGAGGAAGAUUCCGUUCUUCUAGUGUGUAAAAUUUGUUUCUUCCUUUUUUAACUCCUUUAGGUUAAAUAUCAUUACUUUAGUAUCAUAAAAUUCUAAACCAUUGUGCUUUCUGUCUUCUUUCACUGCCAUUUAAUUUUCCUUGGUUCUACCACUGAAGAGGUGAUUUCUGGUUUGACAAGCUAUGCCGAAUUGCCGAAGUGCUCUCCUAAGUGAAGUGUAACCGCACAAAAGUCAUCUGUUCAAAUUAUAAGAGACGGGACUGUAUUCCCCGGGUUUCUUCCGACGAUCUAGUUAGCUUGGAUAAGAGAGGGUUGAAGAAGUUUUUGAAAGUAAUUCUUACGGAAUAUUUUGCCUGUUUGUUUCUGAGUGAGGGUCCUGGUAUUUAUAUGAGAUAAUUUGGAGGGAAGGAUAUUGGGCUCCAAUUUUCUAGGAUCUGAUUGAGACUGAGCAUGUCAGCUUGAUUUGAUAGGUCUGUGCAGUGGAUAGGUCUCAGCAGAUGUCCUAUCCGUCCUGCAGGUGUCAGGUCUUUGACAGGAUCUUGGUUGUCAUGCCAGGCACGGCGCCAAUCCAAGAUAACAGUAUCCGUAUGCGGUGUGUGGCCAUGGUGACCAGAACGGAUGGGGGUCGCCCUAAGUGGUGACGGGAUUGGCUCGAUCAGAUGGCCAUUAUAAAUAACUAGUGGCAGGAAAAAAAAAAAAGGGGCCGAGCCAGGAUGACCAUCCCCAACCGCCUUCAGAAGUUAUGGUAGAAAUGUGCUUGGUGAAAUGUAGUCAACAGCUCCUGCAAUCAUUUAAGAUGGGAGAAAGCUCAUGAGUAGAUGUAUAAAUAUUUUUGAAAGGAAGUGACCUGUGUGGAAUCUAGUUCCACUUCCACAAAAGAAAUGUUAGAAGUCUGCUUGCUGACUCCAAGCCAUCCCUUAUUGCCCGGUGAGGGAACCUCAGCCGACUCCUCGGCUGAACCUGCGUUCUCCCAAACUCGACAUCACCAGAUGAUUCCCCCAAGGUCAACCAACUUCCUGAUUAGAUAGUUGGGACAGACCUUGGGAAGGAAUGGACGAGGGACAGGAACGGCUGCAGUUUCUGAAAGUUCAUGGCCAAGAUUUGGCAAAAAAAAAAAA